rnacentral:rRNA from 1 species
AUUGAACGCUGGCGGCAUGCCUUACACAUGCAAGUCGAACGGUAACGCGGGGCAACCUGGCGACGAGUGGCGAACGGGUGAGUAAUGCAUCGGAACGUGCCCAGUAGUGGGGGAUAGCCCGGCGAAAGCCGGAUUAAUACCGCAUACGACCUACGGGUGAAAGCGGGGGACUCGCAAGAGCCUCGCGCUAUUGGAGCGGCCGAUGUCAGAUUAGGUAGUUGGUGGGGUAAAAGCCUACCAAGCCGACGAUCUGUAGCUGGUCUGAGAGGACGACCAGCCACACUGGGACUGAGACACGGCCCAGACUCCUACGGGAGGCAGCAGUGGGGAAUUUUGGACAAUGGGCGCAAGCCUGAUCCAGCCAUGCCGCGUGCGGGAAGAAGGCCU